GUGUCAGCAGCCGCGGUAAGACAGAGGUGCCAAGCGUUAGGCGGAAUCACUGGGCUUAAAGCGUGUGUAGGUGGAUGUCUAAGUACCUUGUGAAAUCCCACGGCUCAACCGUGGAACUGCUGGGUAUACUGGAUGUCUUGAGCCAACUAGGGGCAGCCGGAACAAACGGUGGAGCGGUGAAAUGCGUAGAUAUCGUUUGGAACGCCAACGGUGAAAACAGGCUGCUGGGGUUGUGCUGACACUGAGACACGAAAGCCAGGGGAGCAAACGGGAUUAGAUACCCGUGUAGUCC
rnacentral:rRNA from 1 species